GUAACUUCUGGAAGCCCAAGAGAGAGCUCAUAUUCAGAGGACAGGAAGACAAUUCCAGACCAUUGGUCCACAGAGGUGUCACCUGUCCUUCUGUGUCUGUGUCAGCCUCACUGCCCCCUGACUUACCCCUGCCCCCAGGAAAAAUGUCACAGAAUGGCCAUCCUAACAGGCGUAAGGUGCUAUCUAGUUGUGGUUUUGAUUUGCAUUUCUUUGAUGAGUCAUCUUGGCCUGUCCUUGACUGGAGACACAUUUUGGAAGCUGUUGGCACUCUCUGUUAAUGGACAUUUGGGUUAUUCCCUCCCGUUCUCCCCUGAACUGGCUCUUCCCAGAUACAUCCUGCUUUAGUGAGCUCAGCUUCUCUGCCAACUUCAUCUGUGAAGCUGUCUUAAAGUAUGAGAAGUCAUUAUCAGUGUUCAGGAUCUCAGGAAAGGAUGGUCUGAUCUCUUUGGGCCCAGAGCGUUUCACCUCUCAAGCAUCCUAAGUUCUUCAGUGUUCUGGACUCCAUAGUGGGGCAUCAAGGGUCAUCAGGGCUGAUUCUCAGAGGCCUAGCCAGCUCAGCCGAAAUGUCCAAGGCUCAGGCAGUGGGCCCUGGACAGGGGAUGUUGGCAUCCUCCAAUGAAAUGAUUCCAUCCAUCUUCCUGAGACAGGAAGGUGGACAGGAAUCUCUCUAAGGAAGACACAUGAGAUCUCCUCUAGUCUGUGGUCAGCCUUGAGGUACCACACCUGCCCAAGGUGAGCAGGUUUUUGGCUAAGGGUGAAUGGUUCAUAUCAGUUCUCCCCUACCCUGGAUGCAUUGUCUGAGGUGUUUUGCAUGCUAGGCUCUUGGCCUCUGUCUCAGAGUCUUGAAAAGAGACAGAGCAGAGCUCUCCUGCUCACAGUCUGUAUCUGCACUCAUCCAGGAUCUUCCACUUAAACGAGCUCUCAACAUCAUGGACAAACUUCCAGCAUGUGAGUAGAUUCACAUCUGAGGCUACAUCUUUGGUGUUUGCAAAAUAGUGAUAAGGAUUCCAUGGUUGAAAGAGGAAGCUGUGGUCAGGCCCCACCACUCCAGGGACAGUAGCUCAGUGCUGCUCUGAAGGGGCCUGGCUGCCCCUUUCUGUCCACUGAUGGCUGAGAUAAGAAUAUUCUCCAAUCUUGAAAAUGGCUUAUAAGUCUUUAACUCUCUAGAGUUGCAGGGACCUUCUUGGGGUUUAUUAACGCAAUAAUAGAAAAAUAGUUAUUGCACUCAAGUUGCUUAAGAGGCCCUCUCUGGACAGGAGCAUCAAAGAUUAACAAAGCAGAUGAAGCCACUUGCCCCAGGGUGGUGAACUUGCUGAGCCUGCCUGUGGCUCUUUCCUUCUGGCUGUCACCUGGUUGCUCCAGUAGGUCAUUCAGAUCUCCAUGUCCUACUAAGAAACUCCCCUCAUUUAUCCCACUAGGAAACAUCCAUUACCCUUAUCAUUUUCUAUCCACUCAGCCCAAUUUAUUUUUCUCCUUGCAGUUAUCACAAUGUAAACCCAAAGAAGGUACAGACAGUUCUACCUUAGCACUGUCUUAUCCUCAUGCCAAAGAUAAGUUUGUGGCAAGUGACAUUUGCCUACUGAAGAGGCAAUUUCCUGAGGAGACUGUUGAGUAGAGAUGAUGAAACGGUCUUUGGAGGAGCUUCAAAAAGGGAGGUCUAGAAGAAGAGCCCAGUGUGUUUCACAGAUCCCAGAGCGGGAGGCAGAGCUGACAUUUGGAGCAUAGCAGUCGAUGAUGCCCACACAGACACUGCCUGAGACUCACGCCCCUGGAGAAACGCAGAUUUCCUUAUUUUCCAGGUCAAGUCCUGCCAGCCAUAGAAAGGACUUCUUUGGUGCCAACUGCUGUGAAAUGCCUGCCUUGGAAAUCUCAGUGCUCCCUUGUACCUGUCUGAGCCCAGGGAAAUGCCAUACUGUGGCACUGCUGCAUCCUGUAUGGCUACCCAAGGAUGCCCAGGACUGGGUUUGAAAGAGAUGAGACAUGGCCAGGUGCCGUGGCUCACGCUUGUAAUCCCAGCACUUUGGGAGGUCAAGGCAGGUGGAUCACAAG